CAGAAUCAAAAUUUUUAAGAAUUGUAUUUAUUAUAUAUUUAAUAAAAAUGGACUGUUUUAACAUCAAUAGGUAAAAAUUUAUUUUUCUGGAACUAAAACACUGUUCAGAAAUCUUUAUUAUGAAAAUGAUGGGAAGAGAUCUGAAAGCAAAAGUUCUGUCACUGAAAUUCCCAAGGAUAUUUGUAUUUAUCAAGUUAUGUAAACAACUAUUUAGCAUUAGAUCAGUCAUGGAAAAGAGAAUGUAUCAGUUACUAAAGUGGAAAGCAUUCCAAAGUGAUGUUUAUAACACGAAAAAAUUGUGUGUUCAAUCUGUGGGCAUGGCAGUGCCCCCCGCCAAGUUGAGCAAGCACAGCCAUACCAUCCUUUUCUGGAAGCAACUCAGGUUACUUUUCACAUCUCCAUAUCUUUAUGU
rnacentral:lncRNA from 1 species